GUCAAGUCCGUUCCCGCUGGGGACAAGUGCAUCAGCUCCAGAACGACCUCUCCCUUGCUUAGCCCUGCCCCGGGAGAUCAGAGUGACCCAACGCCCUGGGGUACCGGCUCCCGCCUCCCUGUCGUCGUCUUGUUGGGCCAAUCGUCUGGCUCUGGGUCGCUGCCCCGGCGCACGGGCUCAGGAAGGCAGCAGCUGCACGGGGUUCCCAUUCCACCCGGGACAGGUAUGGACCGGCCGGGCCCCUGGAGAGAGUCUCCUCUGAGCCCAUCGCUGAGGCUCCGCCGGGAAAAGAGUAAACCUUCCUCUCCACGCUACUCCAAGUGGACACUGAUGGGCAGGAAAAGGCUGGAACGAAAAGCCCUGGCCUUUGCUGGCCUCGAUGGCUUUGCAGAAGAGAGGUGGCCUCCACCCACGUCUCCCCUCCCCCUCCGCGCCACACAGCAGGCUGCUAUUGAAAUCAAUUUGGACAUGACAAGUUGAAGGAAAAUGUUAAGACAGUGUGCGUUUUAUGCUGAAGAAUAUAUAUUAAGUACUGCAGUUUGUCACCGGCUUGGCUGGCCCCCUUAACAGUUGAAGCUCUGUUCCUCCUAUGAAAGACUCAGCUACUCUAUCUCCUGGCUGAAGUCUCCAAGCUCCCCGAACACCGUGGUCCCUGAGGCUGUGAGACUCUCUCUUGCAAGUCAGCACCUGAGGAUCCCUGGUCCAAGCUUCAUUCCUCUGGGUCCAAGAACCUAGAAGAAAAGCCUGGAGCCACACACUCACCUGGGUGAAGCCAUAAGGAGGUAAGCUUUCAUAACGAGGGAACAUAUAUCAAAACUCGUGGCUUUGAGAACCGGAGGAACUGGUGUUCAGACGUUUAGUGUCUCCAGCCAGAGCAUAAAGCAACAACUGGUGCCAAA
rnacentral:lncRNA from 1 species